GUGAUUGGAUAUCGCCCAAGGAGGUUUGGCAUUCCAUGAACGAUAAAGAGCUCCUAUGGCGUGCCUCAAUGGUGCCACACAUUGAUGAAUACCCCUACAAUCGUACACCAAAGGUUGCCUUCCUGUUCCUGACCAGGGGAAGAUUGCCUUUGGCACAACUAUGGGAGAAGUUCUUCAAGGGACAUGAAGGCCUCUACUCAAUCUACGUCCAUACUUCACCAGAAUUCACUGAAGUACCGCCAGAAUCAUCGGUCUUCUACAAUCGCAGGAUACCGAGCAAGCCAGUUGAGUGGGGGAGAGCAACGAUGGUGGAUGCUGAGAGACGUUUGCUAGCCAAUGCUCUACUUGACUUCUCCAAUGAAAGAUUCGUACUACUCUCUGAAACAUGCAUUCCUAUCCUCAAUUUCACAACAAUCUACAAAUACCUCAUCAACUCUAAGCAAAGCUUCAUAGGGUCAUUUGAUGAUCCAAGACACAACGGCCGCGGCCGCUACAACAAGCUGCUGUGGCCAACCGUGAAUUUGUCCGAUUGGCGGAAAGGUUCCCAGUGGUUUGAACUUGACCGGAAGCUCGCCGGGAAGAUGGUCUCCGAUGUGAAAUACUAUCCUGUUUUUAGGGAGCAUUGCAAGCCUCCUUGUUACAUGGAUGAGCAUUACUUGCCAACUCUUGUGACCA
rnacentral:misc_RNA from 1 species